GCUAAUCAGUCCAAUAGAUUUCAGGCACCCCUGCUUGCCAAUGGCAUUGGCAGCAUGUUUCCUAAUUUGGGCCUGCUCUUCUGAAGCCUUUCCCUCUGUGCCAGGCCCUGGAAAUCCUAGGGCUGCCUCUAUUGUCCCCCACCCUCUUUCUUUCUCCUCGUUGGAGUAGAUUUAUAUGUGUUGCAGAAUAACUGUGACUGAAACAGACUUUUACAAAACAAACUGAAGGAAUGAAAUUGCCCAAUGAAGUUACUGACUCACUUGUUGACUAAGAAGUCUGUUAUGGGGUUGUUAUAGCCUGUAAAAGAAUUACUAAUGUUGCUAUGAGAACACAGAGCAAUGUGUGUGGUUUAUACUUAAAUGUUAAGGUUUGAAAGUACACUGAGAUGUUUUUUCUUAUCAGGGCUGAGAUAGUGCUCCUCUGAUUCAAGAGAUCCUUCAAGAGCCUUAGUUAAUACUCAUUUUAAUUUAAUUUUUUUAUACAUUCAUUGCAAAUAUGAAGCAAAAAAAAUCUAUAUGUUGCAGGGGAAACACUGUGAAUUUCACACACGCAACCAAGAGACUACUUUGCCAUCUCUUUUAAACAUACGUCUCAGGAGAAGAAACUGGAACUGAUGGUUAUGUUUUUUUACUGUCUAUGCAUUCAAAACCAGGUCUGUGGUUAUUUUGUUUGCUGGGAGAGGACUUAAGAAUGAUGUUUGGUUAAAGCUGAGCUACGGCAUCUGAAGCUGCUGACAGCAAGGCUUGACAGGAAGAUAGAAAAAACAGAACUCAAACCUUUUCAGAGACCUACUGACACACUUAGGUAUCUUUCUGAAACUUAAAAAUACCAAAUGUUGAAUCAACAGCUGAGAAUGUUUUGUAAAUCAGUAAUUAAAACCGUUAUGGAUUUAAUUGCAACACAUCAAUUUAAUUUGGGAAUUAUUUGUCCCAGUGCGAUGGGCCACCUAUAGUAUAUGUACAUAAGUGUAUGUAUAUAGGUAUAUUUCUAGGUCUUUCUCUAGGCUUCUCUAGGGUGUGAGGGAAAGCAAAAGAAGGAGCUAGAGAUCAGUAUAAAUAUAUUAAUGUGUGACCUGGUAUUUUUCAUUUUGACUGUGACAUAUUCGUGCAAAUAUUUAGUGGUUCUUGUUUUGCCAUUUGUUAUCCAAAUUCAUUGCUUUUAAAAUAAUAAUAAAGCCCAACUGCAUCUUGGCUGAAUUUGAAGUGAUGCCUGAGUAGCAAUGUUAAAAAGUUUUGUUUGUGAAUCAUGUGAUCAGCUUCUCUCAGCCUGACAUGGAAAGUCUCUUGUACUAAAGUGUAUUUAAUGAAAAUUAUGUCCUACAAUAAACAAUGUCAUCCUCAAAAAA